rnacentral:antisense_RNA from 20 species
AUCAAUGGUGGCGUUAGUGGGGCUACGUUCGCGUAGGCCGGUUUCCUUUGUGUCCGGUAUUUCCACCCCUGCUAACGUCACCGCCAUU